GUUUGUUUGGAGUUAUAAAGAAUUUAACCUGCCCCCUGAUUAACUAUUAUUAAAGGGCCGCAGUAUUAUAACUGUGCAAAGGUAGCAUAAUCAUUAGGUUUUUAAUUGAAAUCUCGUAUGAAUGGUUGGACAAAAGAAAGACUCUCUUUAUAUUAAGUUUUGAAUUUAACUUUUAAGUGAAAAGGCUUAAAUAUUCUAAAGGGACGAUAAGACCCUAUAAAACUUUACAUUGUCAUUAAUUUUGAUUGAAUUUAUGAAAUAAAAAUUUUAUUUGAUUAUUUGUUAUGUUGGGGAGACAUAAGUAAAAAUAUUUUUUUUAACUGCUUGAUAGUUAUACAAUUAUUAGUGAAUAAGUAGAAGAUCCUUUUUAAGAUUAGUAGAUUAAGUUACUUUAGGGAUAACAGUGUAAUUUCUUUUGAGAGUUCUUAUCGAAAAAGAAGGUUGCAACCUCGAUGUUGAAUUAAAAUAUCUAUAUAAUGGAGAGGUUAUAUAAGAAGGUCUGUUCGACCUUGAAAAUUUUACAUGAUUUGAGUUCAAACCGGUGUGAG
rnacentral:rRNA from 1 species